rnacentral:rRNA from 1 species
AUGCCCGACGAGGUUGUGCUACCACCCACCGUCGAGGAAGACCCAAAGACGUCUGAUGGUGGCGACGACGAGGGCAUGGAGGAGCCCCCCAGCAACAAGAGCCGCAAUUACGGCCACUACCAUCAGGAGGAUGGCCCGACUCACUUCUGCAAGGUCAUCCUUGCACCGAAGCUUGAGUGCAUCCCCAUGCCCCUGGACUUCACCAAGCACUUCGUCCCGGUGCCGACGGAGUUCAAGCUCAGGAACAACACCGGCUGCUCCUGGAAGGUGACGAUGAAGCUGAUGAACGGCAGGGUGACCCUGGAUCAGGGUUGGGCCACCUACGCAGCCGUUCAUCAGAUCAAGAUCGGCUACAUGGUGACGUUCAAGCUCCUCACUCCCGACACCCUCAAGAUCAUCAUCUUCGACGUGGAUGGCAUUGAGGUUGUCAACAAGUGCGAGAAGCACGACGAAGCCUUCGCCGCCAAGGAGUAG